rnacentral:lncRNA from 1 species
AGACAGCUAGCCAUGACUGCACACUGAACUUCUAGGCUUCUUUUUUUUUUUUUUUGAGAUGGAGUCUCACUCUGUCGUCCAGACUGGAGUGCAGUGGUGUGAUCUUGGCUCACUGCAAGCUCUGCCUCCUGGGUUCACACCAUUGUUCUGCCUCAACCUCCUGAGUAGCUGGGACUACAGAUGCCUGCCACUACACCCAGCUAAUUUUUUUGUAUUUUUUUUUCUUUAGUAGAGACAGGGUUUCACCAUGUUAGCCAGGAUGGUCUUGAUCUCCUGACUUCGUGAUCUGCCUGCCUCGGCCUCCCAAAGUGCCGGGAUUACAGGCGUGAGCCACCAUGCCCAGCCUGAACUUUUAGGUUUCUAUUUGUACUUUUAUGAAACCAUGAAGUAUACCAAGCACGAAUGUCUCAGUCUGUUUUGUGCAACAGAGUACUAUAGACUAGGUAAUUUAUAAGGAAAAUAAAUGUAUUUGGCUCAUGGUUCUGGAGGCAGAGAAGUCCAAGUUCAAGAGGCCUGCAUCUGGUGAGGGCCUUCAAUCUUGGUUGUUCCCAGCUUCUUUUUAUGACCCUUGUUGAAAACCUGGGGCCUUUCCAACAUAACCUAGACAAUUUCUAUGCUACCAAAUAAAAAAAUUUAAAUAAUAAUAAUAAUAAGCCCAUAGCAAAGUAUUUUAUCCACACUGUAUAGAUACAUUACAAAAACACCUUUAUUCCUCUAAACUGAAAAGAGGAAUCAGACGUGAUUCUCUAGGCUGGAAUCCUUUAAUGGGAUGUCCACCAGAGUUCUGGUCACUUCUCUGCUGUCACUUUUGAUUGAAGCCGGCAGAGAUAUGUUUUGGCAAAUCUAGUCAUGAUUUGUCUUCCUUGCAGGGCUCUCUCUUUAAUUGUGUUUCCCAUCAGAGAGCCAGUAGGAGUUAAUAUAUUGACACUCUGCUGUGAUUGAUGACAAUCAAUGUCGUGUUAAUGUUUCUCCCAUUUUUUAACCCACAGAGCAAUGCUAAGAAGAUGUUUGGUUUAAAGAAUUAAAAG